rnacentral:rRNA from 1 species
UAAAAAUGUAAAAUUUUAACUAAAAAAUUAGUAGUUAUGAUCUUUAAAUUUAAAAAAUUUGGCGGUAUUUUAGUCUAUUCAGAGGAACCUGUUCUAUAAUUGAUAAUCCACGAUUAGAAAUACUUAAUUUAAAAGUUUGUAUAUCGUUGUUUAAAUAAUUUUAUAAGAAAAAUAAUUAUUAAAGUAUUUAAUUAGAUAAAUAAUCAAAUCAAGGUGCAGUUUAUAUUUAAGAAGAAAUGGGUUACAAUAAAAAUUAUUUAUAUGAAUUAUAUUAUUAAAUUAAUAUAUAAAGGAGGAUUUGAUAGUAAAUAUAUAUAUAUAUAUAUAUUGAUUUAAGCUCUAUAAUAUGU